rnacentral:tRNA from 1 species
GUCGGAGUGGCGGAACUGGCAGACGCGCACGUUUGAGGGGCGUGUGGGCAACCAUACGGGUUCAAGUCCCGUCUCCGACACCA